UCUUUUCUCUUUGUUAUUUUUUUUAGACUGCAAUCGCUAAAUAUUUUCUGGAAAAGCCGUUGUUUAACCUCACCACCAGCAAGCGUUAGCAUCUCAUAUAUUGCCUAAAAACUGUCUCAAUUAUUCUCAUGUGAAACUUUUACCCCUAGCUUUGCUCGAGUCUCGUAUCAAGUCAUCUAGAAACAGCGGCAGCCAAAGAGGAGAGCUGCAGCUGGUCGUUCUAAUGUGGUUCCUCUGUCUGUUAGGUCUGCUCAGUGAUGAAAGCCACGGUGGUGGAGCCAUAAUAGGUUCGCUUGGGGAGCAGGCACCCCGCUGCAGGAUCAGCACGAGCGAAAGAAGAAUUCGAAUAAGGCCAACAUUUCUCCAGAAGGUGAUUUGACACUUGGUAGUGUGAAGUCCGAUGGAAAGAUGUGAACGCUAGGAAAUAUCCAACCUGAUAGCACCAACACUAACAUCCCCCUACGCAUACCGCGUUACACCUGAAUA